rnacentral:rRNA from 1 species
UACGUAGGGACCAAGCGUUGUUCGGAUUUACUGGGCGUAAAGGGCGCGUAGGCGGCGCGGUAAGUCACUUGUGAAAUCUCUGAGCUUAACUCAGAACGGCCAAGUGAUACUGCAGUGCUAGAGUGUGGAAGGGGCAAUCGGAAUUCUUGGUGUAGCGGUGAAAUGCGUAGAUAUCAAGAGGAACACCUGAGGUGAAGACGGGUUGCUGGGCCAACACGUGACGCUGACAGCGCGAAAGCUAGGGGAGCGAACGGG